rnacentral:rRNA from 1 species
UAGGGGAAUCUUCCACAAUGGGCGCAAGCCUGAUGGAGCAACACCGCGUGAGUGAAGAAGGGUUUCGGCUCGUAAAGCUCUGUUGUUAAAGAAGAACACGUAUGAGAGUAACUGUUCAUACGUUGACGGUAUUUAACCAGAAAGUCACGGCUAACUACGUGCCAC